rnacentral:rRNA from 1 species
CUGGGCUUAAAGCGCGUGUAGGCGGGACGGAUAGUGUCGGGUGAAAGCCCUUGAAUCAACCAAGGAAUGGCUUGGCAUACUUCCGUUCUUGAGGUCGGUAGAGGUCGCUAGAACGACGGGUGGAGCGGUGAAAUGCGUAGAUAUCCGUUGGAAUGCCGGUGGCGAAAGCGGGCGACUGGACCGAUCCUGACGCUGAGACGCGAAAGCGUGGGGAGCAAACAGGAUUAGAUACCCUGGUAGUCCACGCCGUAAACGAUGCGCACUAGGAAUGAGAGGCUCUGACGCCGAUCGUUCCGAAGCAAAAGUGCUAAGUGCGCCGCCUGGGGAGUACGGCCGCAAGGCUAAAACUCAAAGGAAUUGACGGGGGCUCACACAAGCGGUGGAGUAUGUGGAUUAAUUCGAAGCAACGCGCAGAACCUCACCUGGGUUUGACAUGCUAGGAUGCCCUUUGGGAAACCAGAGUAAGCUGCCUUCGGGUGAAACUAGCACAGGUGCUGCAUGGCUGUCGUCAGCUCGUGCUGUGAAGUGUCGGGUUAAGUCCCUUAACGAGCGAAACCCCUAUCGUUAGUUGCCAACGGGUCAUGCCGGGAACUCUAGCGAGACCGCCGGUGUCAAACCGGAGGAAGGCGGGGAUGACGUCAAGUCAUCAUGGCCUUUAUGCCCAGGGCGUCACACGUACUACAAUGGAUGCGACAGAGCGAAGCGAGACCGCGAGGUGGAGCAAAUCGCACAAACGCAUCCUCAGUUCAGAUCGGAGUCUGCAACCCGACUCCGUGAAGUUGGAAUCGCUAGUAAUCGCGGAUCAGCCACGCCGCGGUGAAUGUGUUCCUGAGCCUUGUACACACCGCCCGUCAAGUCAUGGGAGUUGGGAGUACCCGAAGUCCGUUUAGCAAACCGCAAGGGUGCGGCGGCCGACG